rnacentral:lncRNA from 1 species
UAUAUAUAUGUGUGUGUCUGUGUGUGUAUAUAUAUACAUAUAUAUGUAUAUAUAUAUAUAAGGGUGUAGGAAGUAAUCAGAGUGGUUUACAAUUAUAAGCUUACCAUUUUUUAUGAUUUAUCAAUUCAAAUAUAAUGAUUAUUUUUCGUAAACAUACAUAUUCACAAUUAUUAUACAAAAUACAUUAUCUAUUCUUAUUGAAAUAACGGUUAUUUUUUAAAUUUGUGUAUUUUCUAACUCAAUUGUGCCAAUUCAUAACAAUGUUAAAUUAAUUUUAUCCGAUUUAAAUUAAUGUGGACUUGUAUUUUGAAUUUAGUUAAGUGUGGUCACUUGAGAAGUGAAUAAGUACUUGAAAAUGUUUAAGCGUAGGUAGUUGAAAUGUGGACUUGUGCUUUGAAUUUAGUUAAGUAUGGUCACUUGAGAAGUGAGUUAGUGACUUGAAAAUGCAUAAGUGUAGGUACUUGAAACGUGGACUUGUGUUUCUAAUUUAGUUAAGUUUGGUCACUUGUGAAGUGAAUUAGUGACUUGAAAUGUUUAGAUGUAGUUACUUGAAUUCUGAACUUGUGUUUUGAAUAUAGUUAAGUGUGGUCAUUUGAGAAGUGAGUUAGUGACUUGAACAUGUUUAAGUGUUGGUACUUGAAAAGUGGACUUGUUUUGAAUAUAGUUAAGUGUGGUCACUUGAGAAGUGCAUUAGUGAGUCGAAAUAUUUAAGUGUAGUUACUUGAAAGGUGGACUUGUGUUUUGAAUAUAGUUAAGUGUGGUCACUUGAGAAGUGAGUUAGUGGCUUGAAAAUGUUUAAGUGUAGGUACUUGAAAUGUGAACUUGUGUUUUGAAUUUAGUUAAGCGCGGUCACUUGAGAAGUGCAUUAGCGAGUCGAAAAUAUUUAAGUAUAGUUACUUGAAAGGUUGAUAUCAUGUUUUGAAUAUAGUUAAGUGUGGUCACUUGAGAAGUGAGUUAGUGACUUGAACAUGUGUAAGUGUAGUUACUUGAAAUGUAGACUUGUGUUUUGAAUAUAGUUAAGUUUAGUCAUUUGAGAAGUGCAUUAGUGAGUCGAAAAUGUUUAAGUGUAGUUAAUUGAAAUAUGGACUUGUGUUUUGAAUAUAGUUAAGCAUAGUCACUUGAGAAGUGCAUUAGUGAGUCGAAAAUGUUUAAGUGUAGUUACUUGAAAGGUGGACUUGUGUUUUGAAUAUAGUUAAGCAUAGUCACUUGAGAAGUGCAUUAGUGAGUCGAAAAUGUUUAAGUGUAGUUAAUUGAAAUAUGGACUUGUGUUUUGAAUUUAGUUAAGUGCGGUUACUUGAGAAGUGCAUUAGUGUCGAAAAUGUUUAAUUGUAGUUACUUGAAAAGUUGAUAUCAUGUUCUGAAUAUAGUUAAGUGUGGUCACUUGAGAAGUGAGUUAGUGACUUGAAAAUGUUUAAGUGUAGGUACAUGAAAUAUGAACUUUUCAUUUUAAAUUUAGUUUAGUUUGGUAAUUUGCGAAGUGAAUUACUGACUUGAAAAUAUUUCGGUGUAGGUACUUGAAAUGUGAACUUUUCAUUUUGAAUUUAGUUUUGUUAGAUAACUUGUAAAGUAACUUUGUUAUUUGAAAUGUUUAAGUGUUGUUACAUGAAUUAUGGAAUAGUGACUUUUGUUUUGAAAUUAAGUACUUGAAAUGUGAACUUGUGUUUUGAUUUUAGUAAAGUGUGGUCACUUGAGAAGUGAAUUAGUGACUUCAAAAUGUUUAAGUGUAGGUACGUUUUUUCAUUUUGAAUUAAGUUUAGUUUGGUAACGUGUGAAGUGAAUUAGUUACUUGAAAA